rnacentral:lncRNA from 1 species
GAACUGAAAUAUAGAAGGCAUAAGAUUUGAAAAUCUUAUUAAUAUAUUUAGGAAAAACUUCAAAAGCCCUCCAUGUGAUUUCGUAGUUUUUUAUUUUAGUAAUUUGUGAUUUAAAGUGUAUCAACUUAGUACCAUGUGGUUUCGCACUUUCUCACUUUAGUACCCUAUGAUUUAAAGUGUAUCAAGUUAGUACUCUAUAGUUUUAUUUUUGUUUCAAGUUAGUACCCUGUGCUUUUAUUUUUGUAUCAAGUUAGUACCCUAUGGUUUUUAAAUCACAGGGUACUAAAGUGAGAAAGUGCGAAAUCACAGGAUACUAACUUGAUACACUUUAAACCAUAGGGUACUAAAGUGAGAAAAAGUGAAACCACAAGAGGGUAUUUGAAGUUUUCCCUAAUAUUUAUAGACACCAA